UACAGAGGGUGCAAGCGUUGCUCGGAAUUACUGGGCGUAAAGGGCGCGUAGGCGGGAUGGCAAGUCGGUCGUGAAAUCCCUCGGCUCAACCGAGGAACGUCGAUCGAUACUGCUGUUCUUGAGGAUUGCAGAGGAGACUGGAAUUCCCGGUGUAGCGGUGAAAUGUGUAGAGAUCGGGAGGAACACCGGUGGCGAAGGCGGGUCUCUGGGCAAUUCCUGACGCUGAGGCGCGAAAGCGUGGGGAGCAAACGGG
rnacentral:rRNA from 1 species